rnacentral:rRNA from 1 species
AUUGAACGCUGGCGGCAUGCCUUACACAUGCAAGUCGAACGGCAGCACGGGAGCAAUCCUGGUGGCGAGUGGCGAACGGGUGAGUAAUAUAUCGGAACGUGCCCAGUAGUGGGGGAUAACUGCUCGAAAGAGCAGCUACUACCGCAUACGACCUGAGGGUGAAAGGGGGGGAUCGCAAGACCUCUCGCUAUUGGAGCGGCCGAUAUCAGAUUAGCUAGUUGGUGGGGUAAAGGCCUACCAAGGCAACGAUCUGUAGUUGGUCUGAGAGGACGACCAGCCACACUGGGACUGAGACACGGCCCAGACUCCUACGGGAGGUAGCAGUGGGGAAUUUUGGACAAUGGGCGCAAGCCUGAUCCAGCAAUGCCGCGUGCAGGAAGAAGGCCUUCGGGUUGUAAACUGCUUUUGUCAGGGAAGAAAUCCUCUAGGUUAAUACCCUUGGGGGGAUGACGGUACCUGAAGAAUAAGCACCGGCUAACUACGUGCCAGCCGCCGCGGUAACAC